AUACUUACCUGGCAGGUAAGUCAUUUCCCAUAAUCACGUAGAGAGAAGGGUUUUCCGGAUGAGAUACAUCUAUUGUACUCUGACAGUACUGACUUCUGCAAUUUCCUUAAAUACAGAAAACCCAGCUACAUAAUUUGUGAUAGUGGAGUACUGCAUUUAUGCUCUCCCCUA
rnacentral:snRNA from 1 species